AUUGAACGCUGGCGGCAGGCCUAACACAUGCAAGUCGAGCGGAUGAAGGGAGCUUGCUCCUGGAUUCAGCGGCGGACGGGUGAGUAAUGCCUAGGAAUCUGCCUGGUAGUGGGGGAUAACGUCCGGAAACGGGCGCUAAUACCGCAUACGUCCUGAGGGAGAAAGUGGGGGAUCUUCGGACCUCACGCUAUCAGAUGAGCCUAGGUCGGAUUAGCUAGUUGGUGGGGUAAAGGCCUACCAAGGCGACGAUCCGUAACUGGUCUGAGAGGAUGAUCAGUCACACUGGAACUGAGACACAGUCCAGACUCCUACGGGAGGCAGCAGUGGGGAAUAUUGGACAAUGGGCGAAAGCCUGAUCCAGCCAUGCCGCGUGUGUGAAGAAGGUCUUCGGAUUGUAAGCACUUUAAGUUGGGAGGAAGGGCAGUAAGUUAAUACCUUGCUGUUUUGACGUUACCAACAGAAUAAGCACCGGCUAACUUCGUG
rnacentral:rRNA from 1 species